UAGGGAAUCUUCCGCAAUGGACGCAAGUCUGACGGAGCAACGCCGCGUGAGUGAAGAAGGAUUUCGGUUCGUAAAACUCUGUUGUUAGAGAAGAACAGCGCAUAGAGUAACUGUUAUGCGUGUGACGGUAUCUAACCAGAAAGCCACGGCUAACUACGUGCCAGCAGCCGCGGUAAUACGUAGGUGGCAAGCGUUGUCCGGAUUUAUUGGGCGUAAAGCGAGCGCAGGCGGUCAAUUAAGUCUGAUGUGAAAGCCCCCGGCUCAACCGGGGAGGGUCAUUGGAAACUGGUUGACUUGAUUGCAGAAUAGGAGAGUGUAAUUCCAUUUGUAGCGGUUUAAUGCGUAGAUAUAUGGAGGAACACCAGUGGCGAAGGCGACUCUCUGGUCUGUAACUGACGCUGAGGCUCGAAAGCGUGGGUAGCAAACAGG
rnacentral:rRNA from 1 species